rnacentral:rRNA from 1 species
UAGGGAAUCUUCGGCAAUGGACGGAAGUCUGACCGAGCAACGCCGCGUGAGUGAAGAAGGUUUUCGGAUCGUAAAGCUCUGUUGUUAGAGAAGAACGUUGGUAGGAGUGGAAAAUCUACCAAGUGACGGUAACUAACCAGAAAGGGACGGCUAACUACGUGCCAGCAGCCGCGGUAAUACGUAGGUCCCGAGCGUUGUCCGGAUUUAUUGGGCAUAAAGCGAGCGCAGGCGGUUCUUUAAGUCUGAAGUUAAAGGCAGUGGCUUAACCAUUGUACGCUUUGGAAACUGGAGGACUUGAGUGCAGAAGGGGAGAGUGGAAUUCCAUGUGUAACGGUGAAAUGCGUAGAUAUAUGGAGGAACACCGGUGGCGAAAGCGGCUCUCUGGUCUGUAACUGACGCUGAGGCUCGAAAGCGUGGGGAGCAAACAGG